UUCUCCUGACACAGAAAGUCGUAACAGUUUUCAUGAACGCACACUGAAAACUGCACCAGGAUGAUGUGGUCAAUAAUCCUCUUGUUGGCUGUUCUGUGCCACGACACUUCUGCAAACAAAUUCCUGACUCAGACAGACCCUUCCAAGGCCGUCGGUCUCAGAGGGACUGUGACCAUCAGCGCCAAGGGGAGUUCAGAUAUCGGUGCUGAUCUCAGUUGGUACCUUCAGAAACCUGGACAGGCUCCAAAACUUCUCAUUUACGACUCAUCAACCCUCUUCUCUGGAACUCCUCCUCGAUUCAGUGGCAGUCGUUCUGGUUCUGACUACACUUUAACCAUCAGCGGUGUGGAGGCUGAAGAUGUUGGCGAUUACUACUGUCUUGGUGUACAUACAGGUGGAGUGUUCACACAGUGAUUUAGAGCCGUACAAAAACCUCCUUCACUUUGAUAGCAGUGAAAUCGGCCUGCUGCAGGUGCAGAGGGUUGGUGGAGAGACUGUGGUGAGGAAAACAUGGUCCAGUGAACACAACACGAGAGUCAUCAAGCAGAACCACAAUGAAUCUAAAUAAAACAGAAGCACACUCACAGACACACU